GCGUACGUGGUGAAGUGGUUAACACUCUGGUUUGUGGCACCAGCACUCGCAGGUUCGAUUCCUGUCGUACGCC
rnacentral:tRNA from 1 species